rnacentral:rRNA from 1 species
UGGUUCUAUUUUUUGUGGUUUCUAGGACCGCCGUAAUGAUUAAUAGGGACAGUCGGGGGCAUCAGUAUUCAAUUGUCAGAGGUGAAAUUCUUGGAUUUAUUGAAGACUAACUACUGCGAAAGCAUUUGCCAAGGAUGUUUUCAUUAAUCAGGAACGAAAGUUAGGGGAUCGCAAGACGAUCAGAUACCGUCGUAGUCUUAACCAUAAACUAUGCCGACUAGGGAUCGGACGAUGUUACAUUUUUGACGCGUUCGGCACCUUACGAGAAAUCAAAGUGCUUGGGCUCCAGGGGGAGUAUGGUCGCAAGGCUGAAACUUAAAGAAAUUGACGGAAGGGCACCACCAGGGGUGGAGCCUGCGGCUUAAUUGACUCAACACGGGAAACUCACCCAGGCCCCCGCCCCA